UUUCAAUAUUGGUUAUUUAUCAAUUAAUAAUACAAACAAACAAAAUAUAUUAAAUUCUAUAUUUUACUUCCUGUUUUCUUGUCACUUAAAAUUAAUUGUACAUAGGCUCUAUGUUGGGGGUAAGUACAGUAAACCAGAUAUCAGUGAUUUCUUAAUUUGAUUUGAAUUUAACAGUGUGUGGGGUAUCAGUGUAUCAUUUCUUUAAAUAUGUCCAAUAUAUCACCAAUUAUUACAUUUAAAAAAUUAUACCACAUUUAU